GAGUGCGAAUCAUGUGCUUCAUUUUGCUCUCCUGAGACAGGAAGCGCUCCACGCUCGUCUCCAGCGUCUGGAUCUUAUGCCGCGCAGCCUGGAGGAACAGAGAUGUCGCGCCUCAUUUGUCGAGCCGGUCGGAGUCAUCGGGCAGCGGCCCGGCUUCCAACAUCUCAUCCUGCAGGACGUGGUACUCCACCUCGUAAGCGUGCAGCUGCUUGGAGAUGUCCAUCUCCACCACCUGGCAAACACCGGGUCACAACAGUCAUCGGUCUGUCGACACGGUUAACAAGAGCGCCAGGCUUUUCCCGUCACUCGGAAGGAGCGCUCCACAGCUCCAGCAGAUAAUACGCAUGGUCAGCACGGCGGGCGCCCGGCUCAUCACAGCGGAAAAACAGGAAGUGCCCUUUGCUGGGGAAAAUGUCACCGAGACCAUGUUGUUUACUCUCACAGCUGUUCUGCACAUACGGGGUUAUAAUCCCUCACUUGACACCUCUUAUUACGUUUCCCUGCUCGUGAAAAAGUCGUGAAGUAAAAGAGAAGGCUCUGGGGUUAAGUCAUUCGGACGGAGCAACCUGGGACUAUGUCGGCAUAUUCACAUGGAAAUACUCUGCAGGUCGAGGCUUUUUUUCCAAAAAGGUGUGUUAACGAAAAAGCUCAGAGGGUUGGACGGUCGGUCGGAGGAAAAACAUCCUGUGAAAAUGCCAUUUUACAAUGGCCGCUCCACUGGAUCUCAUUCAGAAUGCAAAUGUUGACCUUUACAUUCUGCCGUGCAGACACCUGGUAGACCGUGUCAGACCUUUCAAAGUAAACACAUUGCCGAACUGAGUCGGGCAAUGAUGCUUCGGAGUUCCCGAGGCAUUAUGGGUAGCGCUGGUCAGGAAAAAAGGUGACGUGCGGUUAAAUACAGGUUAAAUUCAGGUUAAAUACAGUUUUGCCGUGCAAAAGAAAGCCUAAAAUACACAUGCAAAUACAACAAGAGGUGUAUCAGCAUCCCCUUGUCUUUCUGAGAGAAACAGGAAGAGGGCCGGAAUAAAGAGAAAUAAAAAAGGUUGAUGUGGAUAAAAAAAAGAACCAAGAUACAGGGACAGAAAAAGCGGUGUGUUAAAAGGUUUGUGACAGCCAACAUUUACACGGCUGU